rnacentral:misc_RNA from 1 species
CAAAAAGGGGCCUUUGGGAACUAUAUGGAUUGCAGCACAUUUGGAGAGGAAACUUCGGAAGAAUCAAGUUGCUGAUACUGAUAUUGGCGUCUCUGUUGAUUCAAUCCUUUUUCCUGAUGUACCGAUUGCAUUGCGAUUAUCUAGCCAUCUUCUGCUUGGAGUUGUGAGGAUAUAUUCUCGAAAGGUGGGUUAUCUAUUUGAUGAUUGCAGCGAGGCUUUGCUAAAAGUCAAGCAAGCUUUUCGCUCCACUGCUGUG